AUUUGCGUCGAAGGUAUACCGGUAAGGAGUGCUGGAGCGAAUAGAAGUGAGCAUGCAGGCAUGAGUAGCGAUAAUUAAUGUGAGAAUCAUUAACGCCGUAAACCCAAGGUUUCCUACGCGAUGCUCGUCAUCGUAGGGUUAGUCGGGUCCUAAGUCGAGUCCGAAAGGGGUAGACGAUGGCAAAUUGGUUAAUAUUCCAAUACCAACAUUAGUGUGCGAUGGAAGGACGCUUAGGGCUAAGGGGGCUAGCGGAUGGAAGUGCUAGUCUAAGGUCGUAGGAGGUUAUACAGGCAAAUCCGUAUAACAAUACUCCGAGAACUGAAAGGCUUUUUGAAGUCUUCGGAUGGAUAGAAGAACCCCUGAUGCCAUCGAGCCAAGAAAAGUUUCUAAGUUUAGCUAAUGUUGCCCGUACCGUAAACCGACACAGGUGGGUGGGAUGAGUAUUCUAAGGCGCGUGGAAGAACUCUCUUUAAGGAACUCUGCAAAAUAGCACCGUAUCUUCGGUAUAAGGUGUGGUUCGCUUCGUAUUAGGAUUUACUCCGAAAGCGAAGAAACUUACAACAAAGAGUCCCUCCCGACUGUUUACCAAAAACACAGCACUCUGCUAACUCGUAAGAGGAUGUAUAGGGUGUGACGCCUGCCCGGUGCUCGAAGGUUAAUUGAUGGGGUUAGCAUUAGCGAAGCUCUUGAUCGAAGCCCGAGUAAACGGCGGCCGUAACUAUAACGGUCCUAAGGUAGCGAAAUUCCUUGUCGGUUAAAUACCGACCUGCAUGAAUGGCGUAACGAGAUGGGAGCUGUCUCAAAGAGGGAUCCAGUGAAAUUGUAGUGGAGGUGAAAAUUCCUCCUACCCGCGGCAAGACGGAGAGACCCCGUGGACCUUUACUACAGCUUGACACUGCUAUUUGGAUAAGAAUGUGCAGGAUAGGUGGGAGGCUUUGAGUAUAUGACGCCAGUUGUAUAUGAGCCAUUGUUGAGAUACCACUCUUUCUUAUUUGGGUAGCUAACCAGCUUGAGUUAUCCUCAAGUGGGACAAUGUCUGGUGGGUAGUUUGACUGGGGCGGUCGCCUCCCAAAUAAUAACGGAGGCUUACAAAGGUUGGCUCAGAACGGUUGGAAAUCGUUCGUAGAGUAUAAAGGUAUAAGCCAGCUUAACUGCAAGACAUACAAGUCAAGCAGAGACGAAAGUCGGUCUUAGUGAUCCGGUGGUUCUGUGUGGAAGGGCCAUCGCUCAAAGGAUAAAAGGUACCCCGGGGAUAACAGGCUGAUCUCCCCCAAGAGCUCACAUCGACGGGGAGGUUUGGCACCUCGAUGUCGGCUCAUCGCAUCCUGGGGCUGGAGCAGGUCCCAAGGGUAUGGCUGUUCGCCAUUUAAAGCGGUACGCGAGCUGGGUUCAGAACGUCGUGAGACAGUUCGGUCCCUAUCUGCCGUGGGCGUAAGAAGAUUGAAGAGAUUUGACCCUAGUACGAGAGGACCGGGUUGAACAAACCACUGGUGUAGCUGUUGUUCUGCCAAGAGCAUCGCAGCGUAGCUAAGUUUGGAAAGGAUAAACGCUGAAAGCAUCUAAGCGUGAAGCCAACUCUAAGAUGAAUCUUCUCUAAGCUCUCUAGAAGACUACUAGUUUGAUAGGCUGGGUGUGUAAUGGAUGAAAGUCCUUUAGCUGACCAGUACUAAUAGAGCGUUUGGCUUAUCUUUAAUAAAGCAU
rnacentral:rRNA from 1 species